GAACACCAAUGCUGGAUGCCUUGAGACAUGUUUGUUGCUAUUUCUGGCAGCACAUUUACAAAUUAGAAAAUUACAAAUGCAAACCUCAGCCCCAGAGGCCCGGUGCAAAUGAGGUAACAGCUCAUGGACUCCCAGGGCUCAUCUCCCCAUUAGCCCGUGUGAAAACAGAGGUGACUCACUGGGAAGUUGGAGCUGCAGCCAGAAGCCUACCGGAAGCCGAAAGAGGAGGUAAGAGAAGGUGGAUUCCUCCUGAGACCAGUUCACUUCUUGGAGGCAAUAUUGCAUUCCUACUGCCAGAUCAUGGAGAUCUCAAGCUAAUUCAGGAAUUGGCCGUAGAAUGGAAAGCGAAGUCCAGAGCAGAGUGCUGCUGACCGUGGUCCUGACCAUUUUCACACACAGAAGUAAAUGACUUUCAGGAAAUUUGAACCAGUUGAAUAAGACAUAGAAGCAAGGGGGAGAAAAAGGAAGAAUGAAGGGCAAACACGGAGAGAAAGAGGGGAAAAUUCUUCCCAUGUAAAUUAUUAAGCAAUUUCGUCAAGA